UGCAACUUUAUCUAGACUUGGUAGUAAACAACUAACUCUACGAUAUCUAACAGCUACGAUAGUAUUAUUAAGAACUGUUAUUAUGAAGAAUUGAAGAACAGCUCACCGAAGCAGGUGAUACUAUUUUACAGGGUUUUGUCAUCUCCCAGUGUACACUGCAACUUGCACCUGCAAUUAGUGUCGUCAUAAAAACGACCCUGACAUACCGAUUCUCCGCUAGUUGGCUCAGCAUUCGACGGGCACGUUUUGAUGCGGUUUCAUCGGCCCGUAUUUAUGUGCCUCAUUGUUCCCCGUUGACCGGGGACGAUUGUAUACGAAAACGUACCUGUGUCAAUUGCAUAAUAUAACGUAACGGUAUGUCGAGCCGAAGGGAAACGUGACCACGUUGCACGAACAAUGAGCCGAUUCGCAGUAACGCCGCGCGAGUUAAAUGCCCCUCGAUUUUUGUUCGCCACGAUAGUCGAUGCAACGGCUGAACGGCCACAGUAAAUUUUACUUACCGAUUGGCCGUGAUCUCUUAGAACGAUAGACCGAUCGAUGGUCGCACACCUGUCUCUCUGUGCGUGUUGCCAUCUUCUAAGACGGAGGAAGAGACGAAACGUCCCGGUAGCAUUUUAAUGAAAGCUCGAGAAACAAUAAUGUGGAGUUGUUAAAUGGUAUUUAGCAUCGCGUCAUAUUACCUGUUUAAGGCUUGAUCAUACGUUUUCACUGGACUAAAGAGAUGGUUAUGUAUUUAUGGCAACUUGUAUAACUCGCGAGCACGCAUCAAGAUUUUAAUGAUGUCUCAAUUUAGAAUGCAGUCAAACUGCAACCACGGGAAAUGGAUUUUAGACCUAAUUGUCUUUUUUCAGAGCUGACGUGAACCACGACUAUCACGGUGCAGUAAGAAUCUUGGUGAUACAGUUUCGGGGCCUUUUUUGAACAAAGAAAACGGGGCAUAUAAGUAGUGGAUUCAAUGAUUAUGAUUACGCUACGGAUUUUUAUAACAAUGAUCUAUUCUAAUUACAGGAGCUACUAAACACCGACAGAGCUAAAGAAAUGCAAAUGAUUUGAGAAGAAUUUCAAAAACACAGCACAGAUUAAAGCAACACCGUUCGCAAUUAAUUAAGCGGCGUAUUCUCACGAUCAACUUUUUAGCAUCGCGCUGCUAUCAACGACCCCGAUCGCGACGCAAGAAACGCGAAAUGGGCCCAUUUUGCCCGAUCUGUUGGAUCUAGCGUCAAGAAACACUUUAUUUGCUCCGGGACCCCACCAGUCUACGGGCUUCCCAGCAGCAGCCAGCACGAUCCCAUCGCGGAGAAUAACGUGUAUUCGAGCACUAUUAAACUAUAACACGACACGUAA